GAUGAACGCUGGCGGCGUGCUUAACACAUGCAAGUCGAGCGAAGCGCUUAAGAAUGAUUCUUCGGAUGAAUUCUUUUGCGACUGAGCGGCGGACGGGUGAGUAACGCGUGGAUAACCUGCCUCAUACAGGGGGAUAACAGUUAGAAAUGACUGCUAAUACCGCAUAAGCGCACAGUGCCGCAUGGCACCGUGUGAAAAACUCCGGUGGUAUGGGAUGGGUCCGCGUUGGAUUAGGCAGUUGGCGGGGUAACGGCCCACCAAACCGACGAUCCCUAGCCGGCCUGAGCGGGGGGACGGCCAAGUGGGGACGUAGACACGGCCCAAACUCCUACGGUAGGCAGCAUUGGGGAAUAUUGCACAAUGGGGGAAACCCGGAUGCAGCGACGCCGCGUGGGUGAAGAAGCAAUUCGUUAUGUAAAGCUCUUUCAGCAGGGAAGAAAAUGACGGUACCUGACUAAGAAGCCCCGGCUAACUACGUGCCAGCCGCCGCCGUAAUAC
rnacentral:rRNA from 1 species